rnacentral:rRNA from 1 species
GGGAGUUUAUCUGUAGUGCGAGUCUUUGCUCGUUAACAGUAAAGGCGUAAAGAAGGUAACUGGCGUUCGCGCAUGGCUACUGAGCAUUACUGAUAGAACCCGAAUGGUGGUGAACUUUGCCUGCACAGGGCGAAGCCAGGGGAAACUCUGGUGGAGGUCCGUACGAGUUAUUGAUGUGCAAAUCAUUUUUCAGAUGUAGGUAAAGGUGCGAAAGACUCAUCGAACCACCUAAUAGCUGGUUUCCUCCGAAGUUUCCCUCAGGAUAGCCGUAAUGCCUAACUAGUUAAGGGGAGUAGAGAUAUGGGUAGAGGUGUAGGGAUCCUUCGGGAUCUCAACUUAUUUCCAAACUUCGAACCUUCUUGUGGUGUAUUUACCUAACAGUGAAAUACCCAGUUAAAUUAGCGUUACGAGUGGGCUCGAACCGGUAAGCGGUUCUGGCGAAAUGGGAUGAACCAUACGUUAGAAUAAGGUGCCUAAGUGUACUACCACUGAUACCAUUAAGAGAGUCCAUGUAUUAAAACAGCAGGUCGGUGCCCCUAAAAGCAGGCGAUCCGCUAAAGAGUGUGUUAAAACUCACCUGCCGAAUACUCGGGCCUCGAAAAUGAAUGGCGCAUAUAGUACCACCGAUGCCUAACACUUGUUCCAUUGAACAAGGAGUAGGGGGAUGUGGACAGUUUUGAGAAGGUAACACGUGAGUGUUACUCGAAGACUGUCUAUUACAGAUCCUAAUUGAAGUAGCGAUUAUCCAGGUUAGUAUCCUGGGGGCUGAUGAGGAGUAGGGUUUCUGGGCAACUUAAACAGACCCAGAGUUAGUCGAUCCUAAUCAAGGCAUUUUUUCUUGAGAAAGGGAGUACAGUUGACAUUCUGUAACUGACAACAGUUCGCGGCAACGCAUACUAUUUUUCUCCGUCAAUCUUAUACCGUUUGGUAGGGAUUUCUUUCCUAUAUGACAGUGCUGAGGCCCAGGGAAACUGGUCAGCAGGCGAACUGCGGUCUCGUAUCUGGCAAAAUGUAGCUCCGGCGACAUCAAUGGCUAUUGGAUUGGUCCAUGAAGCGAAAAAUAGUUUACUGUGUCACUCGUACCGAUAACCGCAUCAGGUCUUCUAGGUGAGUAGCCUAUGGCCAUUGAGGCAUGAUAGUUCAGGGAAUUCGGCCAAUUAGAGCUGUAACUUCGGGAUAAAGCUUGGCUCUGGUGAAAAUCAGAACCGAUUGUUACGCGGAGAGCCCAACUGUUUAAUAAAAACGUAGUGUCGCGCUGUGCUCAUAUAGGCAGUGAACGCGACAUGAAUCCUGCUCAGUGCUGUGUCUGUUAAUAUGGUUCAAGCCAACGAAGCACCGGUAAAUAGCUGGGGUAACUAU